rnacentral:rRNA from 1 species
GAUGAACGCUGGCGGCGUGCCUAAUACAUGCAAGUCGAGCGAACAGACGAGGAUCUUGCUCCUCUGACGUUAGCGGCGGACGGGUGAGUAACACGUGUAUAACCUACCUAUAAGACUGGUAUAACUUCGAGAAACCGGAGCUUAUACCGUAGAAUAUAUUGAACCGCAGGGUGCAAUAGUGAGAUUCGGUGUUGCUGUCACUUAUAGAUGGAUCCGGGCCGCAUUAGAUAGUUGGUAGGGUACCGGCUUACCAAGGCAACGAUGCGUAGCCGAACGGACGGAGGGGUAGGCGACCUGGGAAGGGAGCCAGGGACAAGGCGACUGAGGGACGCACCAGUAGGGAAUCUGACGCAAUGGGCGAGAGUUUGGCGGAGCAAGGGGGCGUGAGUGAUGAAGGUGUUGGGAUCGUAAAAAUCUGUUAUGAGGGGAGAACAAAUGUGGAAGUAAACAUGGAGGUAGUGACGGUAACGAAUAAGAAAGCAACGGCUAACUACGUG